UGAGCUCGCCGGGCAGUCGCCGCUCUAGGUUCUUGUGACCUGGAGGGGAGGAAAGUCCGGGCUCCAUAGGGCAAGGUGCCAGGUAAUGCCUGGGCGGCGUGAGCCGACGGAAAGUGCAGCAGAAAGGAAACCGCCUAAGCACCUUCGGGUGCCGGUAAGGUUGAAAAGGUGCGGUAAGAGCGCACCGCGUGACUGGCAACAGUUCACGGCGAUGGUAAACCCCACCUGGAGCAAGACCAAAUAGGAGUCCGAUGGCGUGGCCCGCGCUGGACUCGGGUAGGUUGCUUGAGGCCUGUGGUGACGCAGGUCCUAGAUGAAUGACUGCUCUCGACAGAACCCGGCUUACAGGCGAGCUCUUUUU
rnacentral:RNase_P_RNA from 3 species